rnacentral:rRNA from 1 species
UACAGAGGUGGCAAGCGUUGUUCGGAAUUACUGGGCGUAAAGGGCGCGUAGGCGGCGCAACAAGUCACUUGUGAAAUCUCCGGGCUUAACCCGGAGCGGUCAAGUGAUACUGUCGUGCUAGAGUGCGGAAGGGGCUACUGGAAUUCUCGGUGUAGCGGUGAAAUGCGUAGAUAUCGAGAGGAAACACCUGCGGCGAAGGCGGGUAGCUGGGCCGACACUGACGCUGAUGCGCGAAAGCCAGGGGAGCGAACGGG